rnacentral:tRNA from 2 species
GGAGAGGUACCCGAAGUGGUCUAUUGGGGGCCGGGUCCGCCCGGUCGGGCAUUGCCCACGCAGCGUUCGAAUCCUGCCCUCUCCG